UUGCUUGGGAACAGCGUGACUAUGGCC
rnacentral:piRNA from 1 species